CUCUGUGACUCCUACGGGAGGCAGCAGUGGGGAAUAUUGCACAAUGGGCGCAAGCCUGAUGCAGCCAUGCCGCGUGUGUGAAGAAGGCCUUCGGGUUGUAAAGCACUUUCAGUAGGGAGGAAGGUAGUGUAGUUAACACCUGCAUUAUUUGACGUUACCUACAGAAGAAGCACCGGCUAACUCCGUGCCAGCAGCCGCGGUAAUACGGAGGGUGCGAGCGUUAAUCGGAAUUACUGGGCGUAAAGCGCAUGCAGGCGGCCUGUUAAGUCAGAUGUGAAAGCCCGGGGCUUAACCUCGGAAUUGCAUUUGAAACUGGCAGGCUAGAGUCUUGUAGAGGGGGUAGAAUUUCAGGUGUAGCGGUGAAAUGCGUAGAGAUCUGAAGGAAUACCAGUGGCGAAGGCGGCCCCCUGGACAAAGACUGACGCUCAGAUGCGAAAGCGUGGGGAGCAAACAGGAUUAGAUACCCUGGUAG
rnacentral:rRNA from 1 species